GCGGCAUCUCAUCUCGGUUUGGCCGAUUUCGGCCGGUUUCAGCCAUUUUUAUGCGAAAACUUACAAAAGAAGAGGUUAGGUGGCCUCGAUUGGCUGAUAAAAAGGAAAAACUAAGGCUUACCGGCAGGUUAGUUUUCUGGUGUAGCAGCUCCGCCAUUCCUCUUUCGCGGCCAGAGAUUUUCUUUGGUUGACUUGUACCAGAAAUGGGUUAGGGAUACACUGGUCGGAAUAUGUAAGGAAAUGGGAAGCAGGAUCGGCCUCACCGGAGCGGUUUUGGGUCAUGGGUGCAGCGGUUUGACCAAGCUUCGCUCCUGAUUUUUUACUUUUCUUUUGGUUUUUCGGCUCCGAUAUGGGUGUGCGGAUGCUUAUAAUCAAAUUUCAAAGCGAAAGGUGGAAAAAACUCACAUCACCGAUGUCGACGGCGACGGUGGUCGGCUUUCCUUUCGACCACGCUUCUUCUUCUUCUUCAAUGGGGUGAGGUGCGGCAAGGUUAAUGUUUUCUAGGAAGUGAUGUC
rnacentral:lncRNA from 1 species